UAUGGCACACAAUGACCUAUGCUUGAUAAACAUUGUCAUCCUUGGUAACAACGUAUCAUUUGGUCGCGAACAGAUUUAAGGACUAAAUGAUAAAUCCUCCUUUGUCAAGUCUAAAUAGUCCUAAGGACUUUACCACAACAUAGGAGUUCAUUAGAAGAUGAAAUAUUUUAUGAUGAAAAAUAUCAAAAUAAUUUUUAUUAAUUCAUAAUUCAUG
rnacentral:lncRNA from 1 species